rnacentral:rRNA from 1 species
UACGUAGGGUGCAAGCGUUAAUCGGAAUUACUGGGCGUAAAGCGUGCGCAGGCGGUUGUGCAAGACAGAUGUGAAAUCCCCGGGCUCAACCUGGGAACUGCAUUUGUGACUGCACGGCUGGAGUGCGGCAGAGGGGGAUGGAAUUCCGCGUGUAGCAGUGAAAUGCGUAGAUAUGCGGAGGAACACCGAUGGCGAAGGCAGCCCCCUGGGCCAAUACUGACGCUCAGGCACGAAAGCGUGGGGAGCAAACAGG